GCUGGGUGUGGUGACGCACUCCUGUAAUCCUAGCUACUCAGGAGGCUGAGGCAGAAGAGCUGCUUGAACCCGGGAGGCGGAGGUUGCAGUGAGCCAACAUUGUGCCACUGUACUCCAGCCUGGGUGACAGAGCAGGAUUCUGUCUCAA
ensembl:misc_RNA Metazoa_SRP Metazoan signal recognition particle RNA